AUGUCGACCGACGUGGCCGCCGAUGUCCCGGCCCCUGAGGUGGAGGUGGCCGCCGACCACGUCGUGGAGACCACGGCCGAGGCCGCCGCCGGCGACGCGAAGCCGGUCAAGGAGACCAAGGCCAAGGCGGCGAAGGCCAAGAAGCCCUCCGCCCCGAGGAAGCCCCGCGCCACCCCCGCCCACCCGACCUACGCCGAGAUGGUGUCGGAGGCCAUUACCGCCCUGAAGGAGCGGACGGGGUCGAGCCAGUACGCCAUCGCCAAGUUCGUCGAGGACAAGCACAAGGCGCACCUCCCCGGCAACUUCCGCAAGAUUCUGUCGGUGCAGCUCAAGAAGCUGGUCGCCUCCGGCAAGCUGACCAAGGUCAAGGCCUCCUACAAGCUGUCUGCCGCAGCGGCCAAGCCCAAGCCGGCGGCCAAGAAGAAGCCCGCGGCGAAGAAGAAGGCGCCAGCCAAGAAGACCGCCACCAAGACCAAGGCCAAGGCCCCCGCCAAGAAGGCCGCCGCCAAGCCCAAGCCCAAGGCCCCCGCGAAGACCAAGUCCGCCGCGAAGCCCAAGGCUGCCGCCAAGCCCAAGGGCCGCCCCGCCAAGGCUGCCAAGACCUCUGCCGCCGCCGCGGCGCCCAAGAAGCCUGCCGCCAGGAAGGCGCCCACCAAGAGAUCCACGCCGGUGAAGAAGGCCGCGGCCGCCAAGAAGGCAGCGCCGGCGAAGAAGGCCCCUGCCGCCAAGAAGGCCAAGAAGUAG
rnacentral:rRNA from 1 species